UACGGGGGGGGCAAGCGUUGUUCGGAAUUACUGGGCGUAAAGGGCGCGUAGGCGGAUAGUUUAGUCAGAGGUGAAAGCCCAGGGCUCAACCUUGGAAUUGCCUUUGAUACUGGCUAUCUUGAGUUCGGGAGAGGUGAGUGGAAUGCCGAGUGUAGAGGUGAAAUUCGUAGAUAUUCGGCGGAACACCAGUGGCGAAGGCGACUCACUGGCCCGAUACUGACGCUGAGGCGCGAAAGCGUGGGGAGCAAACAGG
rnacentral:rRNA from 1 species